UACGUAGGGUGCGAGCGUUGUCCGGAAUUAUUGGGCGUAAAGAGCUCGUAGGCGGUGUGUCACGUCGGCCGUGAAAACCUGCAGCUUAACUGUGGGCGUGCGGUCGAUACGGGCAUCACUGGAGUUCGGCAGGGGAGACUGGAAUUCCUGGUGUAGCGGUGAAAUGCGCAGAUAUCAGGAGGAACACCGGUGGCGAAGACGGGUUGCUGGGCCGACACUGACGCUGAGUGCGCGAAAGCCAGGGGAGCAAACGGG
rnacentral:rRNA from 1 species